rnacentral:lncRNA from 1 species
UUCAAGUACACCGGAGGCUUAGCUGAGCACUCGUAGUCUCCAGCUAUUUUCAGAGUCGUUGAGGUAGCUGCUUGACGUUCGCAGGACCUGGCUACUCUUUAUAUUUCAUUCAGAUAUUAUUAUCCAGUUUUGUUUAGAGGCUCUAGACUCGUGACCCAGAUCUUUGGGGAGUGAUUAUUCAGAUUUCAUAUUAUCUUCGUAAUUAUUCUAUUAAUAUUAUUGGAUUAUUAUUAUUCAGAAAUUAUUACAUUUUUCCUUAAAUUGUCGGUUUGAGAUUUAUUAUCGAAUUGAGAGCUAGUGAUGGUCAGGCUUGCCUAGCUUUAGUGUUGGGCGCCAUCACGAUCGGGUUUGGGUCGUGACAAGUUGGUAUCAGAGCCUAGGUUACUAGGCCUCGCGAGUCUUGAGCCGGUUUAGUAGAGUCUCGCGGAUCGGUACGUAGACGUCCGUAUCUAUCCUCGGGAGGCUACAGAACUUUUAGGAAACACCUCACUUUCUUGAAAUUCAUAUCGUGCGGCUUGUCGCUAUGAAAACUAAAAAUUUCUUUAUUCUAUUCUUUCGCAGAUGGCGAGAACCCGUGCUAACGGACUAGGAGGACGACCACCAGUACCACUUGCUAGAGGCCGUGGACGCGGCCGUGGUGCUGGACGAGGCGGACAAGCAGAGGCAGCACCUGCAGACCCACCAGCUGCCUAGGUCCAGGAUCAGCCUCCAGCUGUGGAUGCUCCAGCAGCACCUAUUCAGGCACCGACAGUGCCCAUCGUGAUUCCUGGUCUCUAGGAGGCUUUGGCUUAGAUUUUGUCUGUCUGCACUGGCCUGGCUCAGGCGGUUUCAGCCACUACAGCAACAGCUACUUCUCAGACCAGGGGUGGUCAUCAGACUCCCGAUGCUCGCACACCCGAGCAGGUUGUUCAGGGCUUACAGACACCUGAGGUAGCUCUAGUUCAGCCAGUUCAGCCAGUUCAGCCAGUUCAGCCAGUUACUCCAGUUGCACCGGUAGUUCCAGUUGCGCCAGUCGCAUCAGCUCCAGCUCAUGUGGUUCCAGCUAUGCCGGAUGACGAGCAACGUUGUUUGGAGAGGUUCGGUAGGCUCCAGCCUCCGACAUUCAGUGGUGCUGAGGGCGAGGAUGCCCAGGGUUUUCUAGAUAAAUGCCAGCGUAUGCUUCAUACUGCGGGUAUUCUGGAGUCUAGCGGAGUGGCUUUCACCACCUUCCAGUUCACAGGGGCUGCAUUUACUUGGUGGGAAGAGUUCGAGAGGCAUAGGCCUAUUGGGGCAGCGCCCCUCACUUGGCAGCAGUUCUCCACGGUAUUUUUGGAGAAGUAUGUGCCCCAGUCUCACAAGGAGGAGCUGCGUCGUCAGUUCGAGUGGUUGACUCAGGGAGAUAUGUCAGUGACUCAGUAUGAGUUGCGGUUUACACAGCUGGCUAGGCAUGCUCUGUGGAUGAUCCCGACAGAUAGAGAGAGGAUCAGGAGGUUUAUAGAUGGCCUCAACUAUCCGAUCCGUAUAUUGAUGACUAGAGAGAGGGCUACAACAGCUACAUUUGAGGAGGUUGUUGAUGCGGCUCGACUGAUUGAGACAGAUCGCCGUCGGGAGCGUAUGGAGAGAGAGGCCAAGAGGCCUCGAGGUUCAGGUAAUUUCAGCGGUGCUCCAUCUAGGGGCCAGUUCCAGCAUGGUAGAGGUUGUUCCUCGAAGCCUCCUCAGUCAGGACGCACAGAGUCCUGUGGAGCCUCUUCAGGCCGGGGCCAUCAGGGUCAUCAACAGAGUCAGCUUGCAUUAAGUGCUCUUCCAGCUUAGAGCUCUACUCCUGCUCCUUCAGCUAAGGGUUCGUCUACAGCGAGGGGUUCUCAUCAGUCCCCUUCUCCAGCUUUAGGUCAUUGUUAUGAGUGCGGUGAGUUGGGUCACAUGAGGAGACAGUGUCCUCGGCUCCGCAGUAGGCAGUCUCAGUAGAGGGAUCAACCCUCGUCUUCUGCUCCGGUUUCUUCGGCUCCCACUCAGUCAGCUAGGAGUGGAGGCCAGGUAGCCAGAGGUCGCCCCAGGGGUGAGGACCGUACUGGCGGUGGUCAGGCUCGUUUCUAUGCCCUUCCAGAUAGGAGGGACGCUAUUGCCUCGGAUGCUGUCAUCACAGGUAUUAUCUCAGUCUGCCACAGGAAUGCUUCUGUUUUAUUUGAUCCCGGAUCUACCUAUUCAUAUGUAUCUUCAUAUUUUGCUCAUUAUUUGGGUACGACCCGUGGUUGUCUUGCCUUGCCCGUGCACGUAUCUACCCCGCUGGGUGAUACUAUUAUUGUGGAUCAUGUAUAUCGAUCCUGUCUGGUGACUAUCAAGGGUCUAGAGACCCGAGUUGACUUAUUAUUAUUGGGCAUGGUAGAUUUUGAUGUGAUUCUGGGUAUGGAUUGGCUAUCUCCGUACCAUGCUAUUCUGGACUGUCAUGCCAAGACAGUUACGUUAGCUAUUCCGGGUAUUCCUAGGAUCGAGUGGCGAGGCAUGACUGAAUAUGUACCCAGUAUGGUGAUUUCUUUCCUAAAAGCCCAACGGAUGGUUGGAAAGGGUUGUUUAUCGUAUUUGGCUUUCGUGAGAGAUGUGGAAGCCGAGGCUCCUAGUCUUGAUUCGGUUCCCGUUGUAAGGGAUUUCCCCGAUGUGUUUCCAGCGGACUUGCCAGGCAUGCCGCCAGACAGGGACAUUGAUUUCAGUAUUGAUCUGGUGUCGGGCACUCAUCCUAUCUCUAUUCCUCCCUAUCGUAUGGCACCAGUGGAGCUAAAGGAGUUGAAAGAACAGCUUCAGGAACUCCUAGAUAAGGGGUUCAUUCGCCCGAGUGUCUCACCGUGGGGUGCACCGGUAUUAUUUGUAAAGAAGAAGGAUGGCACAAUGAGAAUGUGCAUUGACUACAGAUACCUGAAUAAGGUGACAGUGAAGAACAAGUACCCACUACCCCGUAUUGAGGAUUUGUUUGAUCAGCUUCAGGGAGCAAGGGUAUUCUCUAAGAUUGACCUUCGAUCGGGCUAUCACCAGCUGAAGAUUAGUGAUUUAGACAUUAUGAAGACGGCCUUCAGGAUGAGAUAUAGGCACUACGAGUUUCUAGUGAUGUCUUUCGGGCUGACUAAUGCCCCAGCCACGUUCAUGCACUUGAUGAACAGUGUAUUUCGGUCUUAUCUGGAUUCUUUUGUGAUCGUGUUUAUUGACGAUAUUCUAGUGUAUUCGCGUAGCCAAGAGGAGCACACGCAACACUUGAGGGUGGUAUUGCAGAGAUUGAGAGAGGAGAAGCUUUAUGCAAAGUUCUCCAAAUGUGAAUUCUGUCUUAGUACUGUGGCUUUUCUAGGACAUGUGGUGUCCAGCGAUGGUAUUCAGGUUGACCCAAAGAAGAUUGAGGCAGUGCAAAGUUGGCCCAGACCGUCCUCAGCUACUGAGAUUCGAAGUUUCCUCGGUUUGGCAGGUUAUUACCGCAGGUUCGUUUAGGGCUUUUCAUCCAUUGCUUCGCCUUUGACGAAGUUGACACAGAAAAAUGCUCCAUUUGUGUGGUCGGAUGAAUGUGAUGAGAGCUUCCAGAAGCUCAAGUCGGCUUUGACCACAGCUCCGGUACUACUAUUGCCAUCAGCUUCAGGUUCUUACAUGGUGUAUUGUGAUGCUUCGAGAGUUGGGAUCGGUUGUGUAUUGAUGCAGGAGGGUAGAGUGAUUGCUUAUGCUUCUCGUAAGCUCAAGCCCCAUGAGAAUAAUUACCCUGUUCAUGACUUAGAGUUAGCUGCAAUUUUUCAUUCCUUGAAGAUUUGGAGGCAUUAUCUUUAUGGUGUGUCUUGUGAGGUAUAUACGGACCAUCGCAGUCUUCAACACUUGUUUAAACAGAAGGAUCUUAAUCUGAGACAGCGGAGAUGGCUUGAGUUACUCAAAGACUAUGAUAUUACCAUUUUGUAUCAUCCCGGGAAGGCCAAUGUGGUGGCCGAUGCUUUGAGCUGGAAGGCUAUUAGUAUGGGUAGUUUGGCGUACAUUCCAGUUAGGGAGAGGCCCCUUGCGGUUGAUGUUCAGGCCUUGGCCAAUCAGAUGGUGAGGUUAGAUAUUUCCGAGCCCAGUCGGGUGUUGGCUAGUGUGGUUUCCCGAUCUUCUUUGUAUGACCGCAUCAGAGAGUGCCAGUAUGAUGAACUGCAUUUGCUUGUCCUGAAGGACAGGGUCCAACAUGAUGAUGCCAUUGAUGUGACCAUUGGUGAUGAUGGUGUGUUGCGGAUGCAUGGCCGGAUUUGCGUGCCCAAUAUGGAUGGUCUCCAGGAGUUGAUAUUAGAAGAGGCUCACAGCUCGCGGUAUUCGAUCCAUCCGGGUGCCGCGAAGAUGUACCAGGAUUUGAGACAACAUUACUGGUGGAGGAGGAUGAAAAAGGAUAUUGUGAGUUAUGUGGCUCGGUGUCUCAACUGUCAACAAGUCAAACAUGAGCACCAGAGACCCGGUGGCAUACUCCAGCGGAUGGAUAUUCCGGAGUGGAAAUGGGAGAAUAUUACUAUAGAUUUUGUGAGUGGUCUUCCUCGUACCUCGAAGAAGUUUGAUUCGAUUUGGGUGAUUGUGGAUAGGCUGACCAAGUCCGCGCACUUCAUUCCAGUAUGUACUACUUAUUCUGCGGAGAAGUUAGCAGAGAUUUUCAUCUGGGAGAUUGUACGGUUGCAUGGGGUCCCGGUUUCCAUUGUAUCAGAUAGGGGUACCGUGUUUACUUCCUAGUUCUGGAGGACUUUUCAUCGAGAGUUGGGUACACAGGUACAGUUGAGCACAACAUUUCAUCCACAGACGGACGGGCAAUCCAAGCGUACUAUCCAGAUAUUGGAGAACAUGUUGCGUGUCUGUACUAUUGAUUUUGGAGGUUCUUGGGCUGAAUUCUUGCCACUUGCGGAGUUUGCAUAUAAUAACAGCUAUCAAUCCAGCAUCCAGAUGGCGCCGUAUGAGGCCUUAUAUGGGAGACGGUGUAGAUCUCCGGUUGGUUGGUUUGAGCCCGACGAGGCUAGAUUAUUGGGGACAGAGUUAGUUCAGGAUGCUUUAGAGAAGGUAAAAGUGAUCCAGGAGAGACUUCGUACAGCUCAGUCGCGACAGAAGAGUUAUGUGGACCGGAAGGUUCGAGAUGUAUCUUAUGCUGUGGGCAAGAAGGUCUUGUUAAAGGUUUCGCCUAUGAAAGGCGUUAUGAGGUUUGGGAAGAUAGGGAAGCAGAGUCCAAGGUUCAUUGCACCUUUUGAGAUACUUAGGAGGAUUGGGGAGGUGUCCUAUAUGCUCGCUUUGCCACCUAGCUUGUCAGGAGUUCAUCCGGUAUUCCAUGUUUCUAUGCUCCGGAAGUAUGCUGGGGACCCGUCGCAUGUAUUAGACUUCAGCACGAUUCAGUUGGAUGAGGACUUGACCUAUGAUGUGGAGCCGGUGGCCAUUUUGGGUCGUCAGGUUCGGAAGUUGAGAUCAAAGGACAUAGCUUCGGUGAAGAUGCAGUGGAGAGGUCGGCCCGUGGAGGAAGCCACUUGGGAGACCGAGCAGGAGAUGCGCAGCAAAUAUCCUCACUUGUUUGAUACUCCAGGUAUGUUUCUUGACUCGUUCGAGGACGAACGCUUGAUAAGUGGAGGAUAAUGUAAUAACCCAAAUUUUUAUAUAUACGGAUUAACUGAAGAGUUUUAAAAUUUAUUUAAAUGGUUAGUGAACCUAAUUAACUAUUACACAUAUUAAGUUGGAUAAUAAAAUAACUGAGAAAAAAUAAAAAUAAAAAUUAAAUAAAUGGGCUGAACUUCACGUAUUUUCCUUAUUAGCCUAUGUACAAAUACCUAAAGUAUAGGAAAAGGAGUUAUUUAGGUCUUACUUAAAAAUUAAAACAAAACAAGGAAUUAGAACAAAGAGAAGCAGAACUCGAAAGCGGCGAAGAAGAAAACCUGGGAAUUAGAAUCAGGUAAUUUGCAUAUAAUUUAGUUUGUAAUGAUUAUAUCAAUCAUUGGGAGACAAUAAUUAAUAAGUACAGAACUAAAGAUGAGAUAUGGAAUUGGAAAUUUGAACGAAGUCUCCAUCACAGUCUUUUGAAAAUCUGUUUGUAAAAUAAUCUGAAACUAUUAUAUGAAAUUUGUACUAUAUUUAAGAAGGAAACGUAGAAGGUAUACCAUUACAUGAUUAAAGGUAAUUAUGUGAUAAUGAUUAGAUUAAAAUGUUAGAUGGUAUUUUUGGCACAAGGCACAGUGGCAGUGUUUCGGCUAUUUGAUUGACAUGUAACUGUGUACUUGUUAUUAUUAAUUGGACCAAGAAUUGAUCUUGAGUUUGCCUAAGAUUAUGAAAUUUUUCUCUAGCCUAAUUAGGACAUGUUAUUCAAUAUUUUUAAUAGCUUUUAGAAACGAAUUUUGGGGAUUUGAAAGACCAUUUGAACUCCGUUUUUGGUAAACUUUAUAUUUACGGACUCGUGGCGAGACGAGGAUCCGAUGAUGUGAUUUUCAAAAUUUUUCGAGAAGUGGGCCCGGGUUUUACCAACUUCGCGAUUUUCAGUGUUUUUCGAGUAAUUGCAAUUGGGUUAUGUUUAUUUAGCCUAUAGUGACGUAUUCGUUGUGGUUUCGACUAGAUUCGACGCGCGUAGACGGAGAUUCAAAGGGAAAGGGCAUUGCAGACCAGUCUACGACCGGUUAGAGGUGAGUAAUUUCUAUAGACGAUGGCUUGAGGGUUUAAAACCUCGGUUUAUCACAUCGUGAUGCUAUGUUAGGGCGUGACUCGCACCCUAUGGCAGGUGCGGGAUCGUAUAUGAUUGGGGAUUGUGACUUGGUCCAUCCCGAGAGCUAAAUAUAUUUAUUGGCGGUUGAUACGCACAUUGUAUUGUUGAUAAUUGGGCUUAUUGCCAUGUUUGGGGCCUUGUGCCGACCUGUAGCAUCCGUUUAGGAUGAAUAUCUUUGUGAUAGUAUGAUUUGCAUAAUCAUUGAUCUCAGUCCUGUGUUUAAUCAUUGUUAUUAAAUGCUAAGUCACCUUUUUCCUGAAAUUAAUUAACUAAAUUAUAUUCACCUUAAUAAUUGGAAACUGGGAAAAAAUUAGAUUGAAUCUGUUAUGUGACUCAUAUGCAUACUGUGGACUGAGUAUGGGUCGGGCUGCACGCCGCAACAGUGAUAUAAUGAUAUUGCGCUUGGGCUGAAGGAGCCCCUCCGGAGUCUGUACACACCCCUAGUGAGCGCCAUCGACGUUAAACGGAUCGGGCUGUACGCCGCAGCGGAUUCAUGUGCACUGCAUUGCAUCUUUACCUGAUACUUUACUGCUAUAUUUGAUAUUGCUUUGCUGUUAGUUCGUAGUUAAGGUAUAGGACUGUUAGUUUUAGCUUUGUUUUGUGGCAUUUCGUGGAUUUCCUACCUUCAGACAUUAUAUAUGCUUAUUACUCACUGAGUCGGUAGUACUCACCCCUACUCCCUGCACCUUGUGUGCAGAUUCAGGUACACCGGAGGCUUAGCUGAGCACUUGUAGUCUCCAGCUAUUUUCAGAGUCGUUGAGGUAAUUGCUUGACGUUCGCAGGACCUGGCUACUCUUUAUAUUUCAUUCAGAUAUUAUUAUCCAGUUUUGUUUAGAGGCUCUAGACUCGUGACCCAGAUCUUUGGGGAGUGAUUAUUCAGAUUUCGUAUUAUCUUCGUAAUUAUUCUAUUAAUAUUAUUGGAUUAUUAUUAUUCAGAAA